UCAGUGGUGGUUCAGUGGUAGAAUUCUCGCCUUCCACCUGGGAGACCCAGGUUUAAUUCCUAGCCAAUGCA
rnacentral:tRNA from 1 species